CUACUUCUUCAUGUCGUGUCU
rnacentral:siRNA from 1 species